GACUAGAACAAGAGCAGUGAAAAUAGACAACGAGAGAGGAGACGACGAGAAGAGAGAAAAACCGCAAUUAAACAUUCAGAAGUUGAUGCAAACAACAUUGGCAUUGAGAAGGAAGGAGAUCAUAUCAGACGUCCUUACCCGCAGACAUAGCCUAUUGGUUCGGUGGUGGCCUGCAAUCAUGUUGGAAUCCCAGGGAUCCUCAGAUGUAAAUAUCCGACGUGCUGUGGCGCUCCAUGGCCUUCCUUUCUACCUCCAUGAGGAUGAUGCCACUUUUCUAAAGACAUGGGAUGUAAGUCUCUCAAUCGGAGUUCCCAGAUAUUGAGGACUUUACUGUUGAACUCAUUCUGAUCAGCACAAACAG